AUAUUUACUAAUAUUCCCAUUUUUCUAUUUUUCAAAAGAAUGAGAUCGGACUCUGAAAGCGUCGGCUCCAGCACUCAUACUUUCAGCCCAAACCCUAACCAAGGACUCCAAAAUUACCAAGUACUCAUAAACAUUCAUUACAAGCAUUUUCUAUCUAUGUGCAUGACGACCAUACUGUUAAGAUCAAUCCUCUUAUUUUCAUUUACAGAAACUAAUGGAUGAAAAAUUAUAUGUAACUUACAAAGAUGGUUCAGUCACUUAUGCAAUUAGGGAAGGUUCAAAAGGACAUACAUAUUUGAAAGAUGGAUUUUGGGUGCGGUAAUGGCGACAGUGUUCCAAUUUGAGGCUUUUUGGCCCAAGCAACAUCUUCUUGCAACUGGAUGGAGUGUGUAAGUGCAAAGAGGCUUGUUGCAGGUGAUUCGGUCCUUUGUCAUCUGCAAUGAAAGAAUCAGUUAAUCCUGGGAAUCUGGCAUGCUAAUCAGCCACAAACAGUCAUGCCU